rnacentral:rRNA from 1 species
AACGAACGCUGGCGGCAGGCCUAACACAUGCAAGUCGAGCGAGACCUUCGGGUCUAGCGGCGGACGGGUGAGUAACGCGUGGGAAUAUGCCCUUUGGUACGGAAUAGCCUCGGGAAACUGAGAGUAAUACCGUAUGUGCCCUUCGGAGGAAAGAUUCAUCGCCAAAGGAUUAGCCCGCGUUGGAUUAGGUAGUUGGUGGGGUAAUGGCCUACCAAGCCUACGAUCCAUAGCUGGUUUGAGAGGAUGAUCAGCCACACUGGGACUGAGACACGGCCCAGACUCCUACGGGAGGCAGCAGUGGGGAAUCUUAGACAAUGGGGGCAACCCUGAUCUAGCCAUGCCGCGUGUGUGAUGAAGGCCUUAGGGUUGUAAAGCUCUUUCAGCUGGGAAGAUAAUGACGGUACCAGCAGAAGAAGCCCCGGCUAACUCCGUGCCAGCCGCCGCCGUAACAC